UGGCGGACGGGUGAGUAAUGUCUGGGAAACUGCCUGAUGGAGGGGGAUAACUACUGGAAACGGUAGCUAGUACCGCAUAACGUCGCAAGACCAAAGAGGGGGACCUUCGGGCCUCUUGCCAUCGGAUGUGCCCAGAUGGGAUUAGCUAGUAGGUGGGGUAACGGCUCACCUAGGCGACGAUCCCUAGCUGGUCUGAGAGGAUGACCAGCCACACUGGAACUGAGACACGGUCCAGACUCCUACGGGAGGCAGCAUG
rnacentral:rRNA from 1 species